AUUCCAUAGUCGAAGAUAAAUGUGGUAGAGUUCAGCGAAGACCAUCUUGUCUUGUACACCAAUGGAGAAGUAACGCAGAGAUGGAGUUUGAUGCCUUCCACCAUCUUUUACGGAUGAAGAAGGCUAAAUAUCUAAAGAAGUGGAUGUAUGAAUCAUCUGUGCGAGACAGGCCGAAGCAACAUCGUCUUCUUCUCUGUCCACUUGUGAACUCACUCUUUCUCAGCAAGACCGGUGAUGGCGCAGCUUGUUUACGGACUGCAGAGGGGGAGGAGGGCAGAGGAGGAGGUGAAGAAAGAAGAUGACAGAUGCAAGCCGAGAAGGAAGAGAAGGUGAAGAGGUCUGUGACCGUAGGCAAGUCUAAUGCUUGGCUUUGGGGGGAGCAGUUCAUCCAUCUCCCCUCUGUUUCCUUUUUUUCUUUUCCUGUGUUUUCCUCGGCAUCAUGUCGCUCUCUUAUUGGAUUAUUCUUCCUCAAAUUUACGGCUUGAUUUGGUGGUGUGUGUGUGCUGAUCUUUCCUUCUUCUUCAAUUAAUGCUUGAUUUGGUUGAGAUGUAAUUGCGUGAUGGAUCGAAGAUGAAUCAUGAAAUAAUGACAGUUCCAUUAGAUACUGUGAUCGACCCUUUUUCUCCA